UACUUCCCCUUCAAAAGCGUAGCUAAUACAGCUAGGCCUUUGCUUUCUACUUUCUCUAAGGCUUUGUUUUCUACUUUCCCUUUCGCAAAUAAGAAAUAAAAGAUAAAAAGCCCUAGAUCUAUCAACUAAGAAAUAGAAAAACCUUCUUAGAAAGUUGCAAAUUGUAUCGAUGGUGAGGAUGAAUCAAUUGCUCUUGCGGCUUGGCUUCCAUGGUUGAAUUCUUCUCUUAGUCUCUCCUGCCUCCGCAGUGCUCUCUUUGUGUAUCUAGUCAUUAUUGGGUUUGUCAUUUCUAGCACCUUUAAGUUUUCUUUCAGAUUUUCCCUUCAGUCUGUAAUACUGAUCCAUGAGAAACAACUGUUAAGUUCAGAAAUCAACCUAUAUGUUUCAAGACCAUUGGGGGUUAUAACAACUAUGAAAAAAAAAAAAGAGCCAGCUUAGAGUUGAUAUUCAAGGUGCUGAAACAUUGAGGAGGAUACUUAGGAACUCUGCGGUUUUUAUCUUUUUGAUGGCAGAGAGUGAAGCUAAGCUUGUUGAGAGGUUGAUUGACCGGAAGACAUAGACUAAAGAAGCUUUUCUUAUGAGGAUUGCAACAGCUAGAGAGGAAGUGAAGCAUGUUAGAAACUUUGAUUAUGUUAUUGUAAAUGCUGAGAGGAAGUUGGAGAAUGCUGUUAGGUUGGUGGAGUAUAUUAUUUAUGAAAAGAAAGCUAAAGUCCGGCAAAGGAGUGCAGUGAUAUAGUUAUUUGGAAGGUAAUUGGGAAUUUUAAUUUUUUUUUUUUUUUUUGGUUGAGAAUUUGUUUGUUCCAUUUAGAAUUUGUUAGAAUUUCGAUUGGAAUUUUCUUUUUAGGAAAUGUGGGAAUAUUGAUUGUAGUUCUAUCAUUUGGAUAGUAUAACAUAUCUUUUUGAUUUAAAAUUACUACUAACUGAAGACAUUUUUUUUUUUUGGGCUAACACAUCUUUAUCUAUAUACAUAUACACCAGAACCGUUAAUUUCUGUACGAGUAUCAAAUCAUAUAU